rnacentral:tRNA from 1 species
GCCUUUGUAGUGUAGUGGUUAUCACGUCUGCUUUACACGCAGAAGGUCCCUAGUUCAAACCUAGGCGGAGGCA